GCGUGCGUAGCUCAGUUGGUUAGAGCGCCGCCCUGAUAAGGCGGAGGUCCCUGGUUCGAGUCCAGGCGCACGCA
rnacentral:tRNA from 1 species